CCUACGAGAGGCAGCAGUGGGGAAUAUUGCACAAUGGGGGAAACCCUGAUGCCGCGACGCCGCGUGAGUGAAGAAGUAUUUCGGUAUGUAAAGCUCUAUCAGCAGGGAAGAAAAAAGACGGUACCUGACUAAGAAGCCCCGGCUAACUACGUGCCAGCAGCCGCGGUAAUACGUAGGGGGCCAGCGUUAUCCGGAUUUACUGGGUGUAAAGGGAGCGUAGACGGCGCGGCAAGUCUGAAGUGAAAGGCAGGGGGUGAACCCCUGAACUGCUUUGGAAACUGCCAUGCUAGAGUGCUGGAGAGGUAAGUGGAAGUCGUAGUGUAGCGGUGAAAUGCGUAGAUAUUAGGAGGAACACCAGUGGCGAAGGCGGCUUACUGGACAGUAACUGACGUUGAGGCUCGAAAGCGUGGGGAGCAAACAGGAUUAGAUACCCGAGUAGUC
rnacentral:rRNA from 1 species